UGUAUGUAUUUUUGGUGAUAAAACGGAUGGCACUGUGAUAGACUACAUCCAGUUUGUUGACUAGAGUGUUGAUGGAGAAUGAUGGAGGCGACUGUGUUCUUGGGGACCUUCAAUUCUACAUAAAUGUUUUUGGUACCCUUCCCCAGAUCUGUGCCUCGACACGAUCCUGCUCGGAGCUCUAAGGACAAUUUCUUCAACCUCAUGGCUUGGUUUUUGCUCUGACAUGCACUGUCAAUUGUGGGACCUUAUAUAGACAAGUGUGUUCCUUUACAAAUCAUGUCCAAUCAAUUGAAUUUACCACAGGUUGGACUCCAAUAAAGUUGAAGAAACAUCUCAAGAAUGAUCAAUGGAAACAGGAAGCACCUGAGCUCAAUUUUUAGUCUUAUAGCAAAGGGUCUGAAUACUUAUGUAAAUAAGGUAUUUCUGUAUAAAACAUUUAUACUUUUGCAAACAUUUCGAACAACCUGUUUAUGCUUUGUAAUUAUGAGGUAUUGUGUGUAGAUUGAUAAGAAAAAAUGCAUAUUUAAUCAAUUUUAGAAUAAGGCCACAAAAUGUGGAAAGAGUCAAUGGUUUGGAAUCCCUCCAGAAUGCACUGCAUAUUCUACUGUGGCAGGUUCUAGUAGGGUUGUGUUAUAUAUAUAUAUAUAUUAUACUGAGGUAGGGUCUGGUAGGGUUAUAUUAUAUAUAUAUAUUAUACUGAGGUAGGGUCUGGUAGGGUUAUGUUAUAUAUAUAUUAUACUGAGGUAGGGUCUGGUAGGGUUAUAUUAUAUAUAUAUAUUAUGCUGAGGUAGGGUCUGGUAGGGUUAUAUUAUAUAUAUAUUAUGCUGAGGUAGGGUCUGGUAGGGUUAUAUUAUAUAUAUAUUAUGCUGAGGUAGGGUCUGGUAGGGUUAUAUUAUAUAUAUAUUAUGCUGAGGUAGGGUUAUAUUAUAUAUAUAUAUUAUGCUGAGGUAGGGUCUGGUAGGGUUAUAUUAUAUAUAUAUUAUGCUGAGGUAGGGUCUGGUAGGGUUAUAUUAUAUAUAUAUUAUGCUGAGGUAGGGUCUGGUAGGGUUAUAUUAUAUAUAUAUUAUGCUGAGGUAGGGUCUGGUAGGGUUAUAUUAUAUAUAUAUUAUGCUGAGGUAGGGUCUGGUAGGGUUAUAUUAUAUAUAUAUUAUGCUGAGGUAGGGUCUGGUAGGGUUAUAUUAUAUAUAUAUUAUGCUGAGGUAGGGUCUGGUAGGGUUAUAUUAUAUAUAUAUUAUGCUGAGGUAGGGUCUGGUAGGGUUAUAUUAUAUAUAUAUUAUGCUGAGGUAGGGUCUGGGAGGGUUAUAUUAUAUAUAUAUUAUGCUGAGGUAGGGUCUGGUAGGGUUAUAUUAUAUAUAUAUUAUGCUGAGGUAGGGUCUGGUAGGGUUAUAUUAUAUAUAUAUUAUGCUGAGGUAGGGUCUGGUAGGGUUAUAUUAUAUAUAUAUUAUGCUGAGGUAGGGUCUGGUAGGGUUAUAUUAUAUAUAUAUUAUGCUGAGGUAGGGUCUGGGAGGGUUAUAUUAUAUAUAUAUUAUGCUGAGGUAGGGUCUGGUAGGGUUAUAUUAUAUAUAUAUUAUGCUGAGGUAGGGUCUGGGAGGGUUAUAUUAUAUAUAUAUAUUAUGCUGAGGUAGGGUCUGGUAGGGUUAUAUUAUAUAUAU